GAUUGGAUCCUAAACAAAUUAAAUCAAAUUUAAUUUGAUUAGCUAUGGUUUGAGUUGGACUCAAAUUAGGUUUUGUUGGUUUAAUAGGAUUGGACUUGAUCUGUGAUGAAACCCAAACAUAUUUGGACUCCAACCUCUAUUUGGAUUUGAACCAAUCUUGACCCAAUCCAAAGAGGAGUAUUUAUCACUUUAGUUCCACACCCUAAAGGCUUUCACACC
rnacentral:lncRNA from 1 species